rnacentral:rRNA from 1 species
CCUACGGGUGGCUGCAGUCGAGAAUCAUUCACAAUGGGGGAAACCCUGAUGGUGCGACGCCGCGUGGGGGAAUGAAGUUCUUCGGAUUGUAAACCCCUGUCAUGUGGGAGCAAAUUAAAAAGAUAGUACCACAAGAGGAAGAGACGGCAAACUCUGUGACAGCAACCACGGUAAUACAGAGGUCUCAAGCGAUGUUCCGUAUCACUGGGCGUAAAGCGGGCGUAGGCUGUUUCGUGAGUCGUGUGUGAAAUGCGCGGGCUCAAACCGCGGACGGCACAUGAUACUGGGAGACGAGAGGAAUAGAGGGGGAAGCGGAAUUCUAGGUGAAGCAGUGAAAUGCGUAGAUAGCGAGAAGAACACUAGUGGCGAAGGCGGGUUCCUGGACAUUAACUGACGCUGAGGGACGAAGGCCAGGGGAGCGAAAGGGAUUAGAUACCCGAGUAGUC